rnacentral:lncRNA from 1 species
AUAACCUCUGGGUGACUGAGGUGGAGCUACACACUGGUUGUUCAGGGGAGAUGGGAAAUACGGGGAAGGAUUAGGACACUGAGGAAGAGGUGGUCCUGUGGUGCAGGAAGGACCAGAAAUUAUAGUACCUGGGGUUAGUAAGAGGUCGGUGAGCAAGGGGAGGUGAAAUUGCAAGCAUGAGGCGAUGUAACGUCACCGAAUGAAAGCUCAGGCCGUGACUUAACAGAGAGGGGCGGAGUCAGGGGGCUGCUUACGCAACAGGAAGAGGCUUGUGGUUAAUAAAAGGACAGGCAGGCGUGAGACAAGAGCUCCAAGAAGGUUACGGUCCCUGGAGUUCAUGUCCCGAAUGCAACUGUGAGUGACGGGAAACGCAAGGGCUGGAUAAGUCUCCCUCUAAUGUCAGACCUUACCCAUUUCUUCUUAUAUCGAUAUCUCCGCGGGACCGGCGUGAAGUCCACGAGCUUCAGCAGCUUCCGAACACAUCUUAAGACGGGCGCAGCCAUGUCAACUAACAACGCCAAUAAUUCCGACUGAAACUGCAGCUGCGCUCUCGCGGGUUCCGGGAAGGAUUGAGGGCUGCUUAGAAUAUCAGCGGCAGACAGGGCGGGGCUAGGCUUGCGGCGCCCCCAGGGCUCCGCCUACCUCCACACCCCACCCACCAGAAUCCUCGGGGCGCACACGAAGCGGUGGCUGUGCUAGAGCAUCUAAAGGAGCUCCUAGGAAGUUGCAGGGAAGGCCUUCUGGGCUCAACCUGCAUGGAGAAAGCUGCCGAGGUAGAACGAAAUUAGAGCAGACUAUAGACAGAAGCGGAAUUGCUAGGAAGCCAUAGAAGCCAGUUUCAAGAUCUUCCUUUUAGACGGUUCUUUUCAAGACUCGGUACCUAAUUUUGUGUUCUUUCUGAGACUAUCAAAUUGACUACGCCGCUUAGGAUCCAAGAAGAAAGGGGGUGAUCACUAUUUUUAGAAAUGAUCGUUUGGCUGAGCAGAGUGGCAUAUGUCUUUAUUCCAGCACUUGGAAGGCAGAAGCAGACGGAUCUCUGUGAGUUCCAGGCCAAGCUUGGUUUUCAUAGCUACAGGGUCAGGUGGAUCUCUUUGAGUUAGAGACCAGCCUGUUCUGCAGCGAGUUGAAGGUCAGCUAGGGAUAUAUAGUGAAAACUGUCUCAAUUUUUGUUGUUUUUGUUUGUUUGUUUGUUUGUUUGUUUUUUGCUGUUAAUGUAAUCAGAGGAAUGUAGUGAGAAUUUUGGUUUCUUUGAAAAACCCAGAAAUAUGGGAAUAUAUUCUUAUUUUAACCUCAAGUGUGGGACAUGGGGCUGCUUCAUAUUGUCCACAGCAGCUAUGAUUUGCCUCAUGCUAUAGCAGGGGUGUGAUUUUGCCAGGAGCAGAUAAUUUAUGUGAUUGUGUGACAUUUGGAAUUCUGGGGACUUUUCAGAGGGUAUAUAAAUGCUAAGGCCCCUAGAGGCAUGGUGAGUAGUUGUGUAAAACCCUGACCCUCAGUCAGUGAUACUUACUUCAAGAUGCCUCUGAGUGAGACACCGAGAUGUAGAUUGAUACAAAAGCAAGAGGUUUAUUUUCCAGUGCAUUAGGGUCACCCCUCAAUCAGUCACAAAGAGAGUGACAAGAAGUAGACCCUGAAUGGCUAUUACAAGCAGUUUUUAUACAUUUUAGGGUUAAAGGUUACAUCAGCAAGGUUACAGUUAUUGGUUAAGCAUAUUGACCUUUAAAUCUAUUGGCUAGCAAGCAUGGCAUGCAUUUGAAUGUCUACCUGGGACUUUCCAGAGGGAUUAGGGGAUUGGAAGACUAGAAUAAGGGCUGAGAAGGAUGGAAGAACCCACAAAGUGCCCAAAGUCUGACUACAGAGGGAUGCUGAAAUGACUUUGCUACUAGUUGCAGAAUUGUAAUAUCCUGAGUAUUAAAUUGUAAUGUGUAUGUGCUGGAGAGAUGGCUCAGUGGUUUAGAGCACUGACUGCACUUCCAAAGGUCCUGAGUUCAAUUCCCAGCAACCACGUGAUGGCUCACAUCCAUCUAUAAUGGGAUCCAGCCCCAUCUUCUGGUGUGUCUGAAGACAGCUACAGUGUACUCAUAUACAUAAAAUAAAUAAAUAUUUUUUUAAAAAGUAGUAUAUAGUUUUUCUGUGUUACCUGGCUAUCCUGUAACUAGCUCUGCAGACCAUGUUGGCCUCAAACUCAAGAAAUUCACCUACCUUCUGCCUUCCAAGUGCUAGGAUUAAAGGUGUGUAUUACCAC